rnacentral:rRNA from 1 species
AACGUAGGACGCAAGCGUUAUCCGGAGUUACUGGGCGUAAAGGGCGGGCAGGCGGUCUAGCAAGUGGGGUGUGAAAUCUCCCAGCUUAACUGGGAGAGGCCAUUCCAAACUGCUGGACUGGAGGGCAGUAGAGGUAGGCGGAAUUCCGGGUGGAGUGGUGAAAUGCGUAGAGAUCCGGAGGAACACCGGUGGCGAAGGCGGCAUCCUGGACCGACACUGACGCUGAGGCGCGAAAGCUAGGGUAGCAAACGGG